UACAGAGGGUGCGAGCGUUAAUCGGAAUUACUGGGCGUAAAGCGUGCGUAGACGGUUAUUUAAGUCUGAUGUGAAAGCCCACGGCUCAACCGUGGAGGGUCAUUGGAAACUGGGGGACUUGAGUGCAGAAGAGGAAAGCGGAAUUCCACGUGUAGCGGUGAAAUGCGUAGAGAUGUGGAGGAACACCAGUGGCGAAGGCGGCAUCCUGGACCAACACUGACACUGAUGAGCGAAAGCCAGGGGAGCAAACGGG
rnacentral:rRNA from 1 species